rnacentral:rRNA from 1 species
GGCGGCGUGUUUAACACAUGCAAGUCAAGGACCGUAGCAAUACGGGACUGGCGCACGGGUGCGGAACACGUAGGCAAUCUGCCCUUCAAGGGAGCACAACCAGCCGAAAGGUUGGCUAAAUCUCCGUAAAAUCAUAGAGUGGCAUCACUUAUUGAUCAAAUUUUUUGAAGGAUGAGCCUGCGUCUGAUUAGCUAGUUGGCGGGGUAACGGCCCACCAAGGCUACGAUCAGUAGCUGGUCUGAGGAGGAUGAUCAGCCACAUUGGGACUGAGAUACGGCCCAGACUCCUACGGGAGGCAGCAGUGAGGAAUAUUUGUUCAAUGGGGGAAACCCUGAAGCAGCAACGCCGCGUAAAGGGAUGAAGGCGCUUUGCGUUGUAAACUUUUGUAGUCGGGGACAAAUUGUGGGUUACUACCCACUUGAUGGUACCCGAAAAGUAGGGAUCGGCUUACUACGUGGCAGCAGCCGCGGAAAUACGUAAGAACCGAACGUUUGCCGUGAUUACUGGGUGUAAAGGGUGCGCAGGCGGACUGAUAAGUCAGUGGUGAAAUCUCGUCUGCUUAACGACGAAACUGCCUUUGAUACUAUCAGUCUUGAAUCCGGUAGAGAUCUGUGGAAUUCCGAGUGUAGCAGUGAAAUGUGUAGAUAUUGGGAAGAACACCAGUGGCGAAGGCAGCAGAUUGGGCCGGUAUUGACGCUCAGGCACGAAAGCAUGGGGAUCAAACAAGAUUAGAGACCCUGGUAGUCCAUGCCCUAAACGAUGUUCACUUGAUGUCUGCCCUAAGGGUAGAGUGUCGAAGCUAACGCGAUAAGUGAACCACAUGGGAUAGCACGCUCGCAAGGGUGAAACUCAAAGGAAUUGACGGGGGCCCGCACAAGCAGUGGAGCAUGUGGUUCAAUUCGAUGCAACGCGAAGAACCUUACCUAGGCUUGAAAAGCAGUCUAAAGCAGCGAAAGCUGUGUACCCGCAAGGGGGGCUGUACAGGUGCUGCAUGGCUGUCGUCAGCUCGUGCCGUGAGGUGUUUGGUUAAGUCCAGCAACGAGCGCAACCCCUGGGUUUAGUUGCCAGCACGUAAAGGUGGGAACUCUAAACCAACUGCC